rnacentral:rRNA from 1 species
AGCGAACGCUGGCGGCAGGCCUAACACAUGCCAGUCGAACGGAUCCUUCGGGAUUAGUGGCGGACGGGUGAGUAACACGUGGGAACGUGCCCUUUGGUUCGGAACAACUCAGGGAAACUUGAGCUAAUACCGGAUGUGCCCUUCGGGGGAAAGAUUUAUCGCCAUUGGAGCGGCCCGCGUCUGAUUAGCUAGUUGGUGAGGUAACGGCCCACCAAGGCGACGAUCAGUAGCUGGUCUGAGAGGAUGAUCAGCCACACUGGGACUGAGACACGGCCCAGACUCCUACGGGAGGCAGCAGUGGGGAAUCUUGCGCAAUGGGCGAAAGCCUGACGCAGCCAUGCCGCGUGAAUGAUGAAGGUCUUAGGAUUGUAAAAUUCCUUCAGCGGGGACGAUAAUGACGGUACCCGCAGAAGAAGCUCCGGCUAACUUCGUG